CAGAGGGUGCGAACGUUGCUCGGAAUUACUGGGCGUAAAGCGCGUGUAGGCGGGUCGGCAAGUCAGGCGUGAAAUCCCCAGGCUCAACCUGGGAACUGCGCUUGAAACUGCCGGUCUUGAGUAUCGGAGAGGGUGGCGGAAUUCCUGGUGUAGAGGUGAAAUUCGUAGAUAUCAGGAGGAACACCGGUGGCGAAGGCGGCCACCUGGACGAUUACCGACGCUGAGACGCGAAAGCGUGGGGAGCAAACAGGAUUAGAUACCCUGGUAGUCCACGCCGUAAACGAUGGGUGCUAGGUGUCUCGGGUAUUGACCCCUGAGGUGCCGUAGCUAACGCGUUAAGCACCCCGCCUGGGAAGUACGGCCGCAAGGCUA
rnacentral:rRNA from 1 species